CGCUAACAUUAUUAAAAUAGAAAUUAUUUCAACAAUACUUAGACGUUGUUAUUCUAAAUUUAUUUGAUUAAUUAGUCGCGUAAUCGCAUGAAAGUAUCGAUUCACAGCUGCGCGAUAAUAAAUCCGUCGUAUUUAUCAUUUCUAAUUGCCAGUCGGAUGCGUAUCGCAUUCGCGGGAUUCGUACGCGGCGAUGAGAUCCCGGUUGAUUAAUCUCAGAUCGUUUGUGGUAAUACGUACGCCGUACGCUGAAAAAGCGUGAACUUCACACACUUCGACCGAAAACUUUCUAUGCAUUUAUCAACAUUCUUCAACCGCAUAAUUUCUCGUAAAGUAUUGGGCACCCGCACUUUACUGUUAUCAGACCCCGACAACUAUUCCGCGGCCGGUUUAACAAGACGGUACCGGUCGUGCAACGUCGCAGGACCUGGGCUGUUAUACUCGGCAAGCAAACGGUGUGGUACGUUACGGCUGUCAAAGAGAAUCUAACAACGGAAUAAAUUAUGGAUAAAUUACGGUGCUCAUUACGAACAAAGCAGGGCCAUGUCAGUAACCUCCACGUCCUCACCACGUACUUCAAUUCCGCACGUCGAUAGGCCUGUGCACCGUCGAAGGUUACACGCCACCGCUCGCUCGUCGGCCGUUACGUAAAAAAUAAAUGAUCGAUUUCCACCGGCGCGGGCUAUCAACGAGUUACAAUGCGCCUUUUUGUCGCACUUAACCGCAUUAUAUACUGCACACUAUCGUGACCAUUUCGCCAUGUGAAGAUAGAAUUCUAUUUUUUUAAAUCUUUAUAUAAUAACAUUCUAGCGAUUAAAUAAAUGGAUAAAAUAGGAAUCUGAAGAUAUCACGUGCCAAUUUCAUAAUUUUUUAUAUACAAAAAUUGACGAUAAUUUUUUUAAUUUUUCAAUCAGGACCGAUACGAGUCAUAAAACCAGAUUUCCCAGGCGUUAUAUUUAGAACUUUCAAAACUUUCGAAAUUGAAAGGCUUUAAGAAUUGCUCGUAGUAUCUAAGUAUAUAAUCUCUACGUGAAUUAUUGCAGAACCUUCGUCGAGAAUUAUGCAUGUAAACAGUUGAAUUAGAAGCAGCACAUAUUUUAGGCCUGCGCAGUCUAUAUGCGCCUGCAGCACACCCUGAGGAUACCCAUGAAGAAUCCGCGCAGCCCUUGUAAUCGUUAUGCCAUGUUUCGCACUUUAACGAGCGUCAGAAACGGUCAGUCUCCUAUUAGAUAAGAUGUUGGUGGUGCUCUUCACUCGGUUGUUGGAGUACAGAAAUUCAUGCAGGAUGAUCCCGAGGGUGCAAUUAGUCGGAGCUGCCCCCAUUGGCCUUGAAGCGGAGCCUGUUAAAUCCACCUGUGUACGAUCCUUAAAGACUGCUUCAGGCGGAUUAUUCAUCUCGAAGAGAGGGAUGAAAGCCUCGAAAUCUGGGAUUAACCUCGCAACGCCGAGAUUCAAACGUUUAUCGGAAGUUUAGCGAAAAUUUUCAGGGAACAUUAAAUAAGAGCAGUGAUGCGUGUAUUUGCGUAGAAAAUGGCAGGAAGAUGCGGCACAGUUGCACGGCUCCUUUCAGUUUGAGAAAUCGAUUUUACGAACACAAAAGACACUCUUGCGAAGAAGGAACUUCGUUAUCGAUUGGAUGGAACCACCUACUUUCUCUUGUACCUCGCUCGGCACACAAUCUCCGCCGCCAUAUGACACGUUCAAGAAGCCACCGCAUCAGCAUUUUUUCUCAGGAUUUAAGCACUUUACUCUGCACGCCAUAGAUCCGUGCUUUAUCAGGCCCUCGCACGAAAGUCUCCCCGGAAGAGUUAUUACUAUCCCGAUAUUUGCGAUCAUAAAGUUCCGUUAUGGGGUCAUGCUCGAGAUAGCAGAAUUCUCAGUGUCGCAGUUUGACGAUUAAUAAUUCGAUGUAAUUGCCCGCACAAAUAUGAUGAGAAAGUAUAGGCAACGUCGCAAUCAAUUUCAAUUGAACUCCUUAAUGUUAAUUUAUUCAUUUGGAUCAUUAUAUAGGUAAGUUUAGCAGGGGGAGCAAGUUCUACGCAGCAUAUUUUAAUAUCCCCACCCUCUUCCACUUCCCCCCGUUAAGUGCUUCAUAUUUUUCUUCACACAGUACGGCGCAGAACAACGUCGACAACGAGAGACGGGAAAAUGGAUGAGAGCGGCAAGUAGGGUGACGGAGGAAAGGGCUUUGAAAUAUGUGGAGCGUAAAGAGGCCGACAAAUUUCAACGUCUAUUCCCAAUCGGAUCGUGACAAGCUGAUAGCUGACCAUCGUUACCAAAUUAUAUCACUCGGAUAACUCGCUGAUAAUACGACAGAAUUAUAUCUUAUCAAAAGAGAAGAACUGGAGAGACUAAUUAUUUUCAUGUUUAUGGGAAAAUAUCAAGAAUUCGUUCGAUUACAA